GGAUCAGUGGCGAACGGGUGAGUAACACGUGAGUAACUGCCCCAGACUCUGGGAUAAGCACUGGAAACGGUGUCUAAUACCGGAUACGAGCUUCAGUCGCAUGACUAGGAGCUGGAAAGAAUUUCGGUCUGGGAUGGACUCGCGGCCUAUCAGCUAGUUGGUGAGGUAAUGGCUCACCAAGGCGACGACGGGUAGCCGGCCUGAGAGGGUGACCGGCCACACUGGGACUGAGACACGGCCCAGACUCCUACGGGAGGCAGCAGCGGGGAAUAUUGCACAAUGGGCGCAAGCCUGAUGCAGCAACGCCGCGUGAGGGACGACGGCUCUUCGGGUUGUAAACCUCUUUUAGUAGGGAAGAAGCGAAAAGUGACGGUACCUGCAGAAAAAGCACCGGCUAACUACGUGCCAGCAGCCGCGGUGAUACGUAGGGUGCAAGCGUUAUCCGGAAUUAUUGGGCGUAAAGAGCUCGUAGGCGGUUUGUCGCGUCUACCGUGAAAACUGGAGGCUCAACCUCCAGCCUGCGGUGGGUACGGGCAGACUAGAGUGCGGUAGGGGAGAUUGGAAUUCCUGGUGUAGCGGUGGAAUGCGCAGAUAUCAGGAGGAACACCGAUGGCGAAGGCAGAUCUCUGGGCCGUAACUGACGCUGAGGAGCGAAAGCAUGGGGAGCGAACAGGAUUAGAUACCCUGGUAGUCCAUGCCGUAAACGUUGGGAACUAGAUGUAGGGACCAUUCCACGGUUUCUGUGUCGCAGCUAACGC
rnacentral:rRNA from 1 species